CAAGUCCAGCUAUAAACCUCCCACUGACAAGUUCGCCACUAAACCAUGAUCCCAAGAGCCUUGUCUACUCAUCUUCUUACAGUGAGAUAAUACUGCCUGUAGCGCACAAGAUAUGCACAAGGUGUAGAAAAUAAUAGUUCUCUGGAGCCUCUUUCAAUCUUAAACCAGCUGAUUAAGUAGAUGUAUUCCUCUACAGACUUCAGACACAAAUCUUUAGAGGUGCUGAAUUCCUACCAUUCAUUGCAUUAAUUGAGAGCUGUGGAGAUCUAAGUCACUCUUGAACAGUUAUAGAAGAAAAACGGACUUGAAUUUAGGAAAAGACCUGUCUUUGAGAUUUCUGUGCUAUUCUAGGAAGACACAUAUAGACCUUUAAGAAGGGGAGGAUGUUGACUCCUUCAGGUGGAGACACCACUACAUUUCAGAAGGCAGACUGUGCAUUUUCUACAUGGAUAUCCUUGAUAAAAUAUCGAUGCACCCUUGUUCAACAUACUCAAAUGCAUGACAAGAUGUGAGAACAAAAAAACCCCGAAUUAGAUUAAUUUCAUAUGCAGGGAAGCAGCCACAGCUAAAAAGGCCAUUAAUCCAAAAUUAAAUGCAGCCGAAUAAAUAACAUUCCUAUUCUCUCUUCUUCCAAGGAAAAAGCGGCUCCCAUAAUAAUCUGUGUCUCUGAGAUAAAUGAAUGCAUUGAAGUUCUUAACUACUCUUUGAUGGACUACAAAUGGACACUGUGCAGGACAAUAUUUGAACAGUAAUGAUUUGUCCUUUCUUCUUCAAGUGUAAGCUGAUUGCAAAGGCUUUAGGACCAUAGAUGAAAUAGCUAAAGGGGUCAUGAAUCUUAAUAGCUUCUAAAUCAGAGAGAUCUGCAACUUACAUGCUCUGACUGAAAUGUGUGUGGAAUGUAUAAAUAUUAAUAGGUUUGGCAAGGGCUCAGCAGAUGAGCUGUCUAAGAUUUCACAGUGGGAAGACUGGAGAUUGAGGCUGCUGUGUACAAAUCAGCUGAGAAGCUCCUACCUGAAAAUGAACUGUCAGCAUGUGUGUAAAUACAGUUUUCCUGAAGUGAUAUUUAAUAUUGCAAGCUUCCCUCCUACAUAGGCACUGUAUGCAUCCAUGUCAAAAGCCAUAUAUUUAUUUAGAAUGAUGAACAUGCACACAAGGUCAAGUGCCAGCACUGAAGGCUAAUUUGUGCCAUGGAUCUGAAGCUUGCUCUGAUGAUGUUCUGCUAAUGCUAAGAGAACAUAGUAGUAAGAACCUUGAGGAAGUCCAUUGCCAUGACUUCAUUAAAACAGAACAAAAAAAUUUAAUACAGCUCAAAAAAGUUGAGAUUUAAAAACUGUCAGAAGUAAAAUUCUGCACCUGCAUCUAGCUUUGGUGGGUCUUAUAUCUGAUCUUAUGUAUAGUAAUUUCAAAGUUAUAUUAAUGUCUUUAGUCUCAUGACCCAGAUGGAAACUGGAGCCCUUCUUGGCACAAAGCAAUUUCUUGAGGUUUUUCCAUUUCCAUACAAACCAGAUUUCAUAUUUGUGAUUCAAAUUACUAUAUUUUUAUUGAAAUUGUAAUUUAUUUUCAGUGUCAUUGAUGGACAUUGAUGUGUACGAAUUUGCAUGAAUGUUGGAAGAGUGAGGACAGAGUAUGAAAAACACAUGGAUAAGCGAUACAAUUCAGAAUCACCCUAGGAUCAGUAAGAUCUGGGUGGGAAAGACAAGGAACUUAAAUCAAGCCCACUGCAAACACAAGGGAAUUCCUUGAUAUCUCAGUUCCUGCUCCCGUUUAUCCCCUCCCUUUCUCCUCUUUAUUUCCAAGAACCCUUCAAACUGCCUCAUUCUAAGGACUUAAUCAUGGUUUCACCUACAGUGGUCUGGGCUGCUCCCCUGGCCCGGCUCAUGACAUCCAUAUGCACCUGCUUCAGUUUCCAGGUGAUCUGAUAGAAUCUCACAUUGUCCCUCUAUGUGUCCUCUGUACCUUCUAAUUUCUUCUCUUUCCUAGGGAUUCUCAGAGCCUUUGCCCCAUGCAGAGUAAGGACACAAUAUUCUCACCCCUUCUGUGAAGUCAAAUUUCUGUAUUAAAAACAGUUAAUAACAAGUGAAGGACAUGAAUUUAAUCACUUGAAUGAGAACUCAUAAUUUAUCUUGACCCUUCUUCCCAUUAGAAAACAAACUAGGAAGAGCUUCUGUAUUUCUCCAAAUUGAUGUAAUUUGGGCAAAACAGCAUAUUCUUAACUGAAAAAUUCCAUAACAUGCUUUCAUCUGCCUAGUUUCAAGCAUAUUUUUCUAUCAUAUUUCCUGUCAGUCCAUAAAUUUAUGGCUAAAAGAAAGCAAUCUGUCCUUCUAUUUACUGUAUUAUUAGUAGGUCACUGCGGUAAAAAAAAAAGAAGUAUCCAUCCCCAAUGUACUGGCAUAAAAUGGGCAAAUAAUGGCAAUUAUAGCAUAAUGGUAAUAAAGGCAAAUGCCUUGCUAAAUGCAGAUUACAGCAAUUUAACUGUGUGUUUUGAAUCAAAUACUUUAUACCAGGACACUUUUGAUUCUUCAGGCAGUUUGUAACACUAUUAAAAGACUAGUAGUAGUCAUUCAGUAAUCUGAAACUACUCAGAUCACCUCUCUAUACAGGCACUAUCUCAUAAACACUCCAUAAAGCAGUUUUUUUCUGUUUGAUUAAGUGUAAUAAAACAAACCUUGGUGAGGACUUUCCUUUUGUUAAAGGGAAGAGACAGCAUUUUCAUUAUAAAAUUUAUGAAAAGAAUAUAGGACACAUUCCGAGUAAACAUCUGAACUGCCAGUCAUCUUUCAUUCUUGUCUCAGGAGAGAAGAAAAUAAAGAAAUUUACUUUUCUCUGUGAAUUCAUGUGCUAUCAGACACUGCAUUGUGUUGAGAAAACUUUCCAUAAAUUGUGAUAAUUUAUUUAAGUUGGCAGAUGAUCUUGAGAGGUAUCUUUGAAACAGCUGUAUGGUCUAAAGAGAGAAUUGGAGUAACCAGUAUUUGCCAACCAAGUUGUGUUGACAUGGCUGGGCUACAGUGGGUAGUUCUCAAGGGAAUGAAGUUACCGUAUCCUCUUAUUGCUCUUUGACUCUUCAGUCUUCACUUUUGUCAUUAACAUUUUUCAUUUAUGAUACUUUAUAUCCAGCUUUCCAAGCCUCCACCUAACUCCUGGAUGCUUUUCAAUUCAUACUCCAUCUUGAUGGGUUUAAUUUUAUGCUGCCAUUAAUUUCGGGGCAGUAUUCACAAGUGGAGGACAGAAAAGGCCCCUGCUUUUCCCGUUGCUAACCUGACUCUCUCUUGCUAGGAAUAAUGACAUUUCCACUGUGACCAUUCUCUCUGAGGGUACCAAUAGGUAACAGAUAAAAGGGCAGGUGUUGGCUUUGAUGUAAAUAGUCAGAAAUUCAGACAAAAUAGUCAGAAACUAUGGUGAGUUACUGAAUGAGGGCAGAAGUCACUUGGACAUGAGAAAUUAAAGGGUAAAUUACAUCAGAAAAUCACUAAAUUCAAAAGUUUCCACAAGAAACAGAUUAUUUUUCAAGCCACAGGAGGAAUCUCACAAAGACAGCUAACAGGGAUGCUCCACUAAUGAAAAAAUAAACAAGAGCCACUCAGAAAAUCUUGUAAGUGCUGUGAAAGACUUUUCAUUAUGAAUGUGAAAAAAUAUGAGAUGAAGUACAGGUCAUAGAAGAGGGGAACUACUGUCACCACUUCAGCCUGGAUAACAUUAUGUUCCAUAAAGCACAAAGGAAAAUGUGUGCUCCCAGGAAGUCACAGAUAGUGGGCACCAGUAUACAGCUUAGAUGCUCUUAGUGUUAGCUCUGAUCCUCAUUUUUCUGAUUGGAAAUAUAAUGAUUAUAUUCCUUUCAUUACACUGUCACUUUCACUUCUAAAAAAUUUUAAUAACCCAUAAUCUUGUUUUUCUAAUACUUUUAUUUUCUUUCUCUUUUUUUUUUCUUUUUGAAGUCUUUCAUUACAGUCCUGAAAAAUACCAGCAUUGCAUGCUACUUUUCUCAGCUAUAGAGAAAGAAGAUCUGUCAAGGGACAGCUAAUUGCAUUUUAAACUAACUCAGAAAGCUAUACACUAGAGUCAGAGUGCCUAGGGUUGUUUGUUGUGAUUUUUUUGUAGCUUUGAUGUUUAUUUUAAGGUGUAUAACUUCUUACUUAAAUAGAACUGAAAAAAAUACAUUUCUUGAAACCUAAAACUGGUGUUUAUUCAUGUAGAUAAUAAAUUUAUUCUGUAUGUAUUCGCAUAGAUUACUCUUAAGCAUCAUCUUACAAUCAUGUGUCAAACAUUUUCCCCUCAAAAGGCUUUAAUAUUCAAAUUGAAUAAAUAUAAUGAAGCAAGGAUGAAUAGAUCACCUAGCAAAAUAAAAUUUGAAGAGUGGUGAAGUGCAUCAAGAAGGAAAAAAGUGUAUAUUUAAGGUAUAUAUAUAUUUUUUAAAGUAAAUUAUAUUUUUAAAACAUGCCAGUUUUCAUUGUUGAAAGAUUUAAAAUACUUUUUUUUUUGUAUUUUGAGAUUUCUCUUUUAACAUUUUGUGAGGGAUUCACUUAACUGUUUUUUUUUUUGUAGCUUUUAGUAAUUUCCUUAAUUUCCUAAUAGUAAUUGUGGGUAAUGUGUUAGUGCUUGUCCAACUAUUUCCUUUUUUCUUCUGUGGCAUCAUAAUGAUGCUACUUACAAUAUAUAAACCAAAUCACAGGAGAGAGAUAGGAUUUUCUCUUGUUCAUUUGAAUAGGGAACAAGAAACUUAUUGUGUGUUUUAAUAAAGAAAGCUUUUGUGUUGUAAGAAGGGAGAUUCAGAAUUAAAGAUCCAGUUUUCCAUUUGACCACACAGCUUCUCUACACAAAUAUACUUUGCUAAUCCCCAGUAAUCUGAAUGAACCUUUUCCCUAACUACCAGAAAUCUUUAGCCAGAUAAAAAUCUUUGCUACUUUAAUUUUAUUACUUGCAUUGAAAUUUGUUUAAAUGUAAAGCUACAGAAUGCAAUAAUCAAAUGUAAAGCUAGGAUUGAGCUACUACGAAAGAAACAGUUGAAUUUAAUUAGAAAUCCUUCCGUAGAUAAUGUGGAUCUGGAUAGUGAAUAGACUUUCUUUAGAAAACAAAAUGUCACAUCAGUACUGAGAAACAGUGUGAAAUAUGGAAGGUUAUAUCUUAUUUAGUAACUCAGGAUGCUUCUGAACGAGAAGCAAUGGGAGAAUUCAAUCCUCUUCACACUUACAAUAGUCUGAGUCAACAUAAUAGAACCACUGGAUAUUUCUGACACAUGUUUUAGAAAGAAAAAAAGAUUAUCAAUUACAUCACUGUCCUUAAGAAAGAACACAAAGCCCGUACAUGCAUGCCUUGCCUUCACAGUUGUGCUCACUGCUAGACGUACAAUGCAGAUUAAUAUUCAUAACUAUUCAUAACUAAAAGAGGGUGUGCAAUGCUGCUAUCAGGAACAGAAAUUGUACACCUGAAACAGGCCUAUUCUGCACACCACAGUCCCAAAAAGUCAUUGCACAUUUCCCCUCUACAUUUACUUAUAUUGAAAUUUAAUACAUGGAAAUUAAGUGGCUAUUUAUUUUACUUUUUUUUUUAAUAGGAUACUAAUUUAAUUACCAAGGAAUGGACUACUUUUGAAAUAAACGUAAAUACAUGGGAAGAAGAUUGUUUAGCAGUAGUUGCUGACAGUGCAACUACUAGAUGCUGUACUGAGUUAAACUAAGUAAUAUUACCUUUCUUGAAAAGAAAUUAUAAUGGCGAGAAAAGCUGAAUAAACAUUAAGAAUCUCAACUGUUUUCAGAAAUAAUUUUUUCAAGUCUAGGCCAGCCUUGCAUUUGUCAGUGUUCAGCAGCUUCUGAAUAAUUAGGAGUUUAUUAAUGAGAACAUUUGCAAAACUUGUUGGAAGAAAAGCAUCUACAAGAAAUGACAACCUAUGGGAAGAUUCAGACAGACUUUAUUAUCCUUUCUCUUUUUUUGCACAGCUAAUUGUGGGUGAGAUGAGGCUUUUUUAUCUAAAUGAGAGAAAAUUUUAAAAAAAUCUUUCACCAAAACUGCUAGUUUUUGGCCAGUUUCCCUUUUUCCUCAGAGCUGCCAUAUACAGAAACACAGCAGCCUUGGUGACCAUGUUGGCCAUCAAAACGCAAAACUUGUAUACUAUCUAUACACUAAAAUUUUCACUGCUAAGUUACACUAGAAAUUGUGAUAAUUUAGUGUCCUUGACUUUUGUAUCUGAAAGAGGAAUUACCUGAAUUGAUCUCCAGCGGCAGAACUGAAUUUGAUUAGUGGGACGAAGCACCGAAGAGAUGCCAGUUCACUCUGAAUUUAUAAUGACUUUUGCCAUGACACUUAGGGUAAGAGGCGAGUUCCUGAAUGUGGGCAAAUAGCUUGAAAAUGAGAACAUACUGUGUGUGUAAUGUACACACAUAAUAUGGUACUGAGAUGACUGGAUUAAAUCAAACAAGGUGGGGUAGAGACCAGAAGUUGCACCCUGAUGCUAUUAUGAGACCAAAUAAUCUCUGCUGGGCUUUUGUGGUCAAACAAUAUAUCACAGCACAGUGUUCUGUCCAUCAAAGAGUCUGCAGGUGUUGUACUUGAUGUAGUCUUUUUCUGUGGCUGCUCCCUUCAGGAUCUUUGUUCUUUGAGUCUUGCUUUGUGACCAUCUUUAGACCAACAACAAGCUAAGGGGAGCCUUUGAAAAGAAGGCUUGUUUUCAUAAAGAUAUGGAUCAGGAAUGUGACACUUUCUAGUUUGUCAAGGAACAAGCCACAGCAAAAUCCAUCAGAUCCCCCAUGCCUCUGGUUUGAGUAUUUUCAGUCCUUGUAAACCCAAAUACAUGAAGUAAUUGUGACUUGUGGCUAGGCCAUUUUGGUUUUUUUCUCAAUAGCAGAGAUUAUCCACAUUGUGUUCAGAGAUUAGCCUUCUUUGUCUGAUUUAAAUUUCCUGGUAAUUUGGCUUUCCUCUCUUAACUGUUGGACAUGCCUCUGAGUAUACCUCUUUCUUUUGCUUUCUGGCUGGGAGAGUUAAUCACCUGCAUACUUUUUUAAUCCUUAUAUUUACCAGAUCACCUUUCCUCCACAAUUUUUGUCCUCACAAUUUCAGCAAACAAUAUUGUGUUUGGAAUUGUCCAUAAAAUCUAUAGUGUCAUUGAUAUUUGAAAAAGAUUCUGGACCAUGUAAGCCUGAGUUGUUAUUAACUGAGCUCCACCUGGAACUAAAUAAUCACAGAAAGUAAAAAAAGUUAUUGUUCAAUCAAAGACUAACAAUUCUCUGGGUCAUGUAAAGGCAAUGAAUUUACCCUUCAGAGGACUUUUGAGAUCUAAGACCAUCUAAACUGGUAAACAUUAAAUGUAUUUUUCUUUAAAGGAUAUUUUAACAAAAGUCCUUCUUUUGAGAUUCCUAUGGAGUGCUCUCCUACACUUCAUUUGCCUGAAACAUUUUGAGAGGAGGAGGGGGAAAGAAGAAUCACGUGUUUUGUUGCCCCAAAAUGAAAAUGUGGAAAUUUCAAUGAAGAAGUUGCCUCAUCUUAUUUAACACAGAUUGUAAAGA